GACGGUUGGUCGAGAUCUGGUCAGAAAGUCAUAAAAAUCUGAAACUUCUCUCCCUUUGUUCUUACUCAUCCGACCACCAAACGAAGUGAAAUUGGUCCCAAAAUGAAGCUUAUGAAAUAAGCUUUCAAACGCCACCAAAAAUGCCCUGAGUAGACUUUGAAUGAAGCUGAAAUUGUACCUGGAAUUUCCCUCCCCUGCGUGUGCAUUAGAGGAGAAAGUCCCUCCAUUUGCGCUGCUGCUAGUACUGCUCCAACCAGCAG
rnacentral:misc_RNA from 1 species